ensembl:lincRNA Gm26877 predicted gene, 26877
AUAGAGAAAGAGAAUCACUCAGGAGAAGACAGGCUUUUCUUUUCCUCGGGCCUCAGGACUUGGAGUAUUCAGGACUAUCCCCCAGUUGGGAUGCAUUCCAGCCAGACUGCACGACUCGGGUGGAAAAAAAAAAUCAGCUCUUACUUCUUUCCUGACUAAGGGAGAGAGGAUCAUACUCCAAGCAAAACGAAGCAGAGACUAAGAACAAAUGAAUGGAAAGUCCUGACCUUGUCUGCGUCUCCUGAAUCAGCCAUGCCUGAAGUCUGCUCCAAGAUCAUCUAACUCAUACAGCAACAUGCUGGUUGGGUUCUGUCAACAUGCUACAGACCUAGACAUGUCUGGGAAGAGGGAUUUUGAGAAAAUUCAUCCAUAAGAUUUACCUGUGGGCACAGCUGUGGGGCAUUUUCUUCAUUAAUGAUUGAUAUGGGAGGGCCCACCCCUGCUUAGGAUGUCCUGAUUUGUAUAAGAAACCCGGCUGAGCAAGGUAGAAGGAGCAAGCCAGUUAGCAACACUCUUCCAUGACUUCUGCAUCAAUUGCUGCCUCCAGGUUCCUGCCUUGAGUUCUUGCUUUGACUUCCCUCAGUGAUGGACUUUGAUGGGAAACUUUAAGCUGAAAUAAACACUUUCUUCCCU